rnacentral:rRNA from 1 species
AGCUCUCCGAGUGGUGUGGAUGUUUAUUGGGCCUAAAGCAUCCGUAGCUGGCUAAGUUAGUCCCUUGUUAAAUCCACCGAAUUAAUCGUUGGAUCGCGGGGGAUACUGCUUGGCUAGGGGACGAGAGAGGCAGACGGUAUUUUCGGGGUAGGGGUGAAAUCCUAUAAUCCCGGGAAGACCACCAGUGGCGAAGGCUGUCUGCUAGAACGCGCCCGACGGUGAGGGAUGAAAGCUGGGGGAGCGAACCG